rnacentral:miRNA from 1 species
AAGAUGAUAGGAGAGGAUGUGAGGGAGGAGUAACAAAAGUGAAAACAAAAACUAAAAACUGAAAUCUAUUUAAAAUUGUUUUCACUUUUGUUACUUCUUCCUUCCAUCUUUCUCUCUCAACUUU